ACGGAGGGUGCAAACGUUGUUCGGAAUUACUGGGCGUAAAGCGCGUGUAGGCGGCUUGGCAAGUCGGGUGUGAAAGCCCCGGGCUCAACCUGGGAAGUGCACUCGAAACUGCUUGGCUUGAGUACUGGAGAGGGAAGCGGAAUUCUCGGUGUAGAGGUGAAAUUCGUAGAUAUCGAGAGGAACACCGGUGGCGAAGGCGGGUUGCUGGGCUGACACUGACGCUGAUUGUGCGAAAGCUAGGGGAGCGAACGGGA
rnacentral:rRNA from 1 species